UACGUAGGGGGCGAGCGUUGUCCGGAUUUAUUGGGCGUAAAGAGCUCGUAGGCGGUCUGUUGCGUCGGCUGUGAAAACCCGGGGCUCAACCCCGGGCCUGCAGCCGAUACGGGCAGACUGGAGUACUGCAGGGGAGACUGGAAUUCCUGGUGUAGCGGUGGAAUGCGCAGAUAUCAGGAGGAACACCGGUGGCGAAGGCGGGUCUCUGGGCCGAUACUGACGCUGAGGAGCGAAAGCGUGGGGAGCGAACAGG
rnacentral:rRNA from 1 species